rnacentral:lncRNA from 1 species
CAUUAAUUACACACUGGGUUUUUUUAUGAGAGCUGAGUAGCAAGAACAUUCACAAUUCUGAAUCUUAAUAUCAAUCACUGGUGAAAAUAAAAGAACUUGAAAGCGAUAUUCCUGGAAGUGGUGACUUCAUAUCAAAGUCAAUUUCUUUAUACGAAUCCUGGCUCAUGAAAAUGAAGUCCUGUGUGACUGGGCGCUCACUCAGCACAGAGGUUCAGCAAUGAUACCUGAACAGAAUACAUUCUAGCUUCUUAACUCAAUGUAAACUUAUACCUGCUUCUGCUUCAGAAGACCCUGAAGUUUAUAGAAAGCUAAAAGAAAACUUAAGGUGCUCAUUUAAUUCAUUGCAGAUUAAAGUAGGCAUUAUGAUUUCAAUGGAACAAAAGAGUUAUCUUCAAAACAUGUCACAACUGCCUGGGAAAGCUCAUAAUAAGAAGCUACUAAUGAGAACCUGCUAAUAAGCAGCUCAAAAAUACCUCAAAAUAACUCAACCAUGAGCUUCUCCAUCCCCCAGUCCAACCUGCACACAUCAAAGAGAAAAAAUAUGGAAGAAAAUUGCAUAUUGAUCAUUACCUGAAUUUUUGUUGUGGGGAUCUUUUGUUGGGCACAGUUUGAGAAGCUUAAUACAUAUGAAAAAAGGAAAAUACUUAAAUAGAACAAAAUGUGAGUCCUAUUAUUAAUAGACUGUUUCUAUCUUUACCUCACUGGCUGUGAAAGCUGGGACAAUGCUUUUCUUUUCUUUUCUUUUCUUUUCUUUAUUUUGUUCUUUCUUUUUCUUUCUUGACAAUGCUUUUUUUUCUUUCUUUCUUUUUUUCUUUUCUUUUCUUUCGUGAACAUAAACAUGAAUUUGAUUAGACCUUGGUAGACUUACUUGUAGA